ACGGUGCGGCGGAGGCGGCGGCCAUCUUGGCAGCGGAGCGAUGAACGGGCCGAACCCUAAGGCUGCGGCUGCGGGGACUGCAGCUGGGUCCAGGGGGCUGGUGGCUGGCAAGGAGGAGAAGAAGGCGGGCGGCGGCGUCCUCAACCGGCUCAAGGCGCGGCGGCAGGCGCCCCAACACGCGCUCGGCGACGGCAUUGCGACAGCGGUCACCGAGCAGGAGCUACUGGCGCUGGACACCAUCCGGCCCGAGCACGUCCUGCGCCUCAGCCGGGUUACCGAGAAUUAUUUGUGUAAACCCGAAGACAACAUCUACAGUAUUGAUUUUACCCGCUUCAAAAUUCGAGAUUUGGAGACUGGGACAGUGCUUUUUGAGAUUGCCAAACCUUGCAUUUCAGAUCACCAGGAGGAGGAGGAGGGUGGAGAUGUGGAUAUCAGUGCAGGACGUUUUGUCCGCUAUCAGUUCACACCAGCAUUUCUCCGCCUCCGGACAGUUGGUGCUACAGUGGAGUUCACAGUAGGAGACAAACCUGUGUCAAACUUCCGGAUGAUUGAACGGCACUAUUUCCGGGAACGCCUGCUGAAAAACUUUGACUUUGAUUUUGGCUUCUGCAUCCCCAGCAGUAGGAACACUUGUGAACAUAUCUAUGAGUUUCCCCAGCUUUCAGAGGAUGUCAGAGGUGGAACCCAGGGCCCUAUAUAUGCUGGGCAAGUAUAUACUGAGCCGAAUCUCCAGCCCUAAGGAAUGAACCUUGAACCUCAUCUGAUGGCUUCAUCUUGGAGAGGAGGGCAGCAUUGACAUGAUGAGUAUCUGGUCAUCUGACCUAAGGCUUCUCAUUUCCUCCUGCUCUGUCUUUUUGUUUCAGACUCUUAAUUCUGCCUAUAUGGGAGCAGAGAAGGUUGUAAAAAUAUAGGGCAUUAUCAUUAGACACCUGUCAUGGGAAAGGGCGUGGCUGAGGGGGAUAAAGGAGGCCUGGGAUCUUGCCUGGGAGUCUGACUAGAUAAGAGCUUCCAGUGUUAGUAAUGGCUUCCAUUAUGUCCUAGUCAUUGGCCCUGUACUUUUUCCUUAAUCAGAGCCAGGUGUGAAAUGGCAGGCUGAACAGAAGCAAAAGCCUGAGGACUUUCCUUUCUCUUUCUCUGCAGGAUAAAGGUUCGUCUGAUGAUUGAAAACCCUUAUGAGACCCGCUCUGACAGCUUCUACUUCGUUGACAACAAGCUGAUAAUGCACAACAAGGCUGAUUAUGCCUAUAAUGGAGGCCAGUAACUGCUGCAGAAGUGGACAAAGGAGUUGCUUUGCUAGGGCCUUGUGCUCCUAGCACAUGGAGGAGAUUGAAGCUGCUGUUUGUCAACAGACAUCUGGAAGCUAUCCAGGAGGCGGAGGCUGGGGUGGCAGUUUCCUGUGCUCCAGGGAGGUGCCAAGCAGUGUUGUGUUUUCUUCCUUUUUUUCUUGUCCCUUAGGUCACAGAGGUAUCAUAGUAAAGUAGAAGAUUAGGGUAAGGCUCCUGCAAUCCACAUUAAAAAGAAAGUUUAUUUUCAUGUAGUUCUAGCUGUCUGCAGGUUAUGCUGAUGAGUCUCAGUCUCUCCAGCUCAGGUGUGUCCGGGUGAGGGCUGUGGCUGCCACCUGCAUCUUAGUGUUCCUUCUCGACCAGGAACCUUCCUGAGGUUCCUGAAUGCUGUGAGUAGCUGAAAGGUUGGCCUCUCCUGGGUGCCUCCUCUUCUCCCUUCUGGUGUUGCCCAUAACCCCGCCUGCCCCAGCCCCCACCCACACAUAGUCCUAAACCAACUGGAAAAAACUUGGUGCUGAGGGCUGAGGUACCAGGAAUGGGGGAUCCUGCCAGACUAUAGAGGACCCAUUUCUUGGUGAGCCUGUUAUCUGUCUGACUUCAGGAUCCUCCGCCAGUCCUCCUGGGGAUAGACCAAGGUUUUAACCUGGCAGUGCCUUCCUGUUCUUAUUCUGGGGGACAGAUGAGCUCGCUCUCCUACUUUGUCCUCCUGGAGUAGAAUAUGUCACUUUUGCUCAUGGAACAUACUAUCUUUCAAGGCCAGAGCAGGGCUCUUGUAUUUUGAUUUUUUUCUCCAGACUCCUAUAGAGGAGUUUAUACAAAAUGUGAGUGGUGUUUUCAGCACAUGUAAUGUGUGGUUAGACUUUUGAUAGUAUUGAUCAGCCUCCUGGGGCUAAUCUGGCUCAUGUUAGGGGAGGUAUAGUUACAAAGCAGCACUCUGUACAGCAUAGCCUGAAGAAUUGGCUUCUGAUGGGGAUUUGCCUCCUGAACUCUGUGGUUCUUACUUAGGAGUUUUCCUGUUUGCUUUCUAAUGAAGUAGUUUCUGGAACCAUCUGGGAAGCCCGACCUAAGUAAUUCAUAUUCAGAUCCUUUAAGCUGCUAGUUGGGAUUAUUUGGGGUGGAAAGGGUGAGAUAGGUUGAGGUAGCCUAUCAGAGUGAUGUGUUCUCAAAUCAGCUCCCUAGUGCUCCCUGUGGGCUGCUUGUGUCCACAGGCCCUUACGGGAUGGGCUCCCACCUCAGCUGCCUCUGGUUGUCUCUGUGGAUGGCUUUAGGUGCUUAGGCCAGACUCCAGGACCUCUCUGUGGCCAGGGUGCACUUAGCAUUAAUAGAAAGGUGUCAGUAGCAUGGGGGACCAGGAGUGUAGUAAGGUGCUGUGAGGCCUCACUGUAUUUGUGACAGGAGCUGUGUCCAAGGCUUUUAGAGGAAGGCUGUGUGUGGCCAGGGAAGGAAGGGCCAGCACUGUGCCACAGAAGCACAAGUGCAUUCUUCAGCCAGUGUUCCUUCCUGUUGGGCUUCUAGAGUGGCCUUGACCCUCAGCCUGUGCUUUGUGCCAGUCCAAAGAAUUGGUGGUGCCGUCUGCUGGCUGCUUUCUCGAUGAGUGAGUGUCCUGAGUGCUGGCACUGGGUCCCCCUGCCGAGGUGGGGAGGGAAUGUGUGCCCUGCCACAUGGGCGCCUUAUCACCACACUGGUGAGUUUCAGUUGGGGUCAACUCCAAAUCCAGGUGCCUUAAGUAUGGCUUUUUCCCAUAUGCUGCUGGGGAAAGCUGUUGCUGUUAUUUCUUCCUCCUCACCUGUGGACAGAUAUCAGCACCCACCAUCUCCCUACCUUCUUCUCUUUCUCACUGUGACUCCUUUAGUGAGAUUACCUAUUCUUCUCAAGCUUCAAAUGUUCCUUCUUCUGUGACAGAAGCCCAAUUGGGAGUGCUUCUGUUGUCCAAAAUCUAAACAUCACCUAGGGUGUACAUUCUGGAGCUGCCCAGCGCUCUGCUCAGUGGAGCCUGUUUUGAAAAUUGGGCCAGGAAAGACAGUUACAUGGGCACUAGUGGGCUGUCUCUUACCUACAGUGUUAGCUUUUGGUGGCAAAGCACCCAGGAGGUGAAGGAGCUGGGCACUUCAGCUCAAGGUAGCCCCUUCCCUUCCCUGCUAACUUGCUUACUCUCACUGGAGACCGUUUUGAGGCCUGGUGUUCAGUUGUAGCCAGCAGGGUGGGAUUUGCUGUCCUCUGCCUUUGAAGGUACAGUGUUCUGUGUCUAGCUGCACCAGAAAUCUCGAGAAGCAUUACCAUUUUGGGUGUUAGCUGGAAUGAAUUUAAAACUGGAGCUUCCAGCUGGGAAGCCUGGUGGCACAUGCCUGUAAUCCCAGCACUCUGGGAGGCUGAGGCAGGAGGAUUGCCACAAGUUUGAGGCCAGCCUGGGCUAUAUAGUGAGUUCAAGCCCAGCUUGAACUGCAGGGAAAGACCCUGUCUCAAAAAAUAAAACAAUUCCAGCUUCCAUGCCUGCAUCGAGGAGAGGAUUGGAAGUCAUAUUUCCUCUGAAAGUAACUGAACCAUCAGAAGUUGAGUCAGGAGGUGUGCUAUUAAGAAAUCUUUAUUAUUGAUAGCAGUUACCUGCUAUCAUCCAGCUCCUUGUGUGGUGAGACCAUUCUUUGUGUCAAAGCAGGCAUCCAAGAGGCAGCUCCUGGAGGGAGCUCAUUGCAGCAGCCAGGCCAACCUAUCUAGGGUGAGGCCCUGCCUCCUCCUUUCUCCUGGAUCCUCUAUCUUGGACUCCCUUAGAGGGCCUCUGCUUUCUCUGUGGCCUUUGGGUUAAGCUGCCCUUCUAGCCUCUCCAAAGAAGAUCCUGGCUUAUUUCAUUUUAAUUUCUAAAGUAUAAACAUAGGAAGUAAUGACUAGAAGUAGUUGGGGCUAAAAUAGGCUGUCGUCUCAUUCUGUGUUAGCUCAGAGCUGUUGCAGAGAAAGCAUUCCUCAGGGGCUCGGACUUUCUGAAGACGUCUCAGGCUUUGGGAAUCUGAUUUCUAACACCGAGGGACAGUGAUUGAAGAUGCCUGGGGGUGACCAUAGACUGGCGUUGACUGGACAAACUUCAACGUAUUUUUUCAGUUGGAGUGGAAACCAUUUCUAGACUGGAUGUAAUAAGCUGUGAGUCCUACCUUAGUUGAUCCUGCCUCCCUUGUUGGGGUCCCAAGUACCCCCUGUUUUUUUCCUCUGUAAAGUCACUUUCCUCUGGUGGCCAGUGCCACCAUGCCAUCGGUGAGGUUUGGGAAUGGGGAAAAAUCUGUCCUAAAAAUCACAGCACAGGCUCCUUGGUUUGUACCUGGGGGGGAAGCCUAAUUGUUGAACCUUUGUGUUAUUCACAUUCCUUGUUACAGAAUAUCUUAGCGACAAGAUGGAUCUAGUGGAGGUGGAUUUAACCUCUUGUUUUACAAAGGAUCACGUGAAGUCAUUGAAGUUGCGAAAGUCUAUUUUUUCCUUAUAAAUCUAUUUUUCACAGAAUAUAAGAAACUCAAUGACCUGACCUGUCCUUCUUCCUCACUUCACCUGAGAUCCUCAUUCCAGUUUGUACUGUCUUUGUGUCCAAAGUAAACUAGGUGACUUAUUUGUAUAAAAUGUUAUUUUGCCACAGGAGACAGUAAUAAAAGAAAGAUUUUUCACACUA